AUCAGGUAGGACUACCCGCUGAACUUAAGC
rnacentral:rRNA from 1 species